UCUGGUGAUAAUGACAUAAAGGUAACACCCGUUCCCAUUCCGAACACGAUGGUUAAGCUUUAUAGUGCCGAUGGUACUGCAGGGGAGGCUCUGUGGAAGAGUAGGUCGUUGCCAGGUU
rnacentral:rRNA from 1 species